UACCUACUUAGGCUUAUUAAUUCACCAAGUUAUUGAAGUCUCUAAACUUGAAGUUGAGUUUAACUAUAAGUGAAAUCAUCUUUAGUAGUUUUAAUGUCAAGACUGUUGAUAUUUUUUAAAUUUUUUUCUUACUUAGCUUAUCAAUUCACCACGCUGAAGAGAAAGUUGUAUGGGAGGUUGUGUUGAGAUGGUGAUGUUGGCGAUUGCAGGAAAAUAAGCUGACUAGUCGUUGUGGUGUGGGGUGAGGUGUUAAUUGGAAAAGUGAAUAGGAAUUUACAAAGUUGUUAAGGUCUAGCAUAUAUGCACUAUCUUCAAGUGUCUGUGAAUGAGUGAGAGGGAGCAACAAAGCUGGGUAAAAGAGAGGAACGAAUGAGUUUAAGAGGAUAUUGGUAAAAGCUUGGAGAUCUUUGGUUGGUGUGGGUGAUAUGUGUUCUUUUUGUUGUUUCUUUUUUCUUUUUAGUGCACAAAUAGCCAGAG
rnacentral:lncRNA from 1 species